AGAGCGAACGCUAGCGGCGGGCCUAACACAUGCAAGUCGAGCGCAUACCUUCGGGUAUGAGCGGCGGACGGGUGAGUAACACGUGGGUAAUCUACCCUCUGGUGGGGAAUAACCCGGGGAAACCCGGGCUAAUACCGCAUAUGGCUUUCGGGUCAAAGCCUUCGGGCGCCAGGGGACGAGCCCGCGGCGCAUUACCUAGUUGGUGGGGUAAUGGCCUACCAAGGGGACGAUGCGUAGCUGGUCUGAGAGGAUGAUCAGCCACACUGGGACUGAGACACGGCCCAGACUCCUACGGGAGGCAGCAGUGGGGAAUAUUGCGCAAUGGGCGAAAGCCUGACGCAGCCACGCCGCGUGGGUGAUGAAGGCCUUCGGGUUGUAAAGCCCUGUCGGAGGAAGAGGUUCUGACGGUACCUCCCAAGAAAGCACCGGCUAACUCCGUGUCAGCAGCCGCGGU
rnacentral:rRNA from 1 species